rnacentral:rRNA from 1 species
AUUGCACGCUGGCGGCAGGCUUAACACAUGCAAGUCGAACGAGUGGCGGACGGGUGAGUAAUGCUUGGGAAUCUAGCUUAUGGAGGGGGAUAACUACUGGAAACGGUGGCUCAUACCGCAUACUCUCGGAUAAACCCAUAUGGGAUUAGCUAGUAGGUGGGGUAAAGGCUCACCUAGGAGACGAUCUCUAGCUGGUCUGAGAGGAUGACCAGCCAACUGGGGAAUUAGACACGGCCCAGACUCCUACGGGAGGCAGCAGUGGGGAAUAGUGCGCAAUGGGGGAAACCCUGACGCAGCCAUGCCGCGUGAAUGAAGAAGGCCUUCGGGUUUUAAAGUUCUUUCGGUAGCGAGGCGUUAACUACAGAAGAAGCACCGGCUAACUCCGUGCCAGCAGCCGCGGUAAUAC